AUUGAACGCUGGCGGAAUGCUUUACACAUGCAAGUCGAGCGGCAGCGCGGUCUUCGGACUGGCGGCGAGCGGCGAACGGGUGAGUAAUACAUCGGAACAUGCCCAGUCGGGGGGGAUAACACUUCGAAAGAAGUGCUAAUACCGCAUACGUCCUGAGGGAGAAAGCGGGGGAUCGCAAGACCUCGCGCGAUUGGAGUGGCCGAUGUCAGAUUAGCUAGUUGGUGGGGUAAAGGCCUACCAAGGCAACGAUCUGUAGCUGGUCUGAGAGGAUGAUCAGCCACACUGGGACUGAGACACGGCCCAGACUCCUACGGGAGGCAGCAGUGGGGAAUUUUGGACAAUGGGGGCAACCCUGAUCCAGCCAUUCCGCGUGAGUGAAGAAGGCCUUCGGGUUGUAAGGCUCUUUCGGCAGGAACGAAACGGCGAGCUCUAACAUAGCUCGCUAAUGACGGUACCUGAAGAAGAAGCACCGGCUAACUACGUGCCAGCCGCCGCAGUAACAC
rnacentral:rRNA from 1 species